CACAUCUAACAUGGAAAAAUGGCACAAUUGAGAUGAGAAUCUCAUUUGAAAGAAGAUACAACGUUACAGUUUGGGACAAAGCGGGACAGUUACUUUGUAAUUCAACAAACAAUUGGUGUUAUAUUGAGUGCUCCUAUAAUGAAUUAUUGGAAAACAAAAACUUCACACAAACAGAACAAUUCACAAUGAACCUGACAAUAAAUUAUCAGAACAACACGAGAGUUGACUUCAGUAUAAAUGACACAUCAAGCAGCUGUAUUCUGGUAGAUUGCUUGCCUGAUGACAUAAAAAAUCUCCUGGAUAUGAAAGCGACAACAAUGAAAAUGCCACAAGACAUGAGAAACAUUCUCAAUAUUAAAAGAAUGUGCAACGAUGUGGUCUUCAGUGACCCUGUUGUGAAUACCUACAUUGGAGUGGAAAAGAAAGCCAUCCAAAACAUUAUAAAUAUGAGUAUUCUGGAGCAAUCCAAGAGCUACUAUCAGGAGGAUCUUUCCAUCACUGUGGUUAAGAUGAAUCUAAGCAAGACAGAUGAUUUUUUAUCAAUCGCCGCUCCAAGUGUAAGACUCUUGCCCCAUAUUAUACAUGCCAAAAGUCCAAGCUGACAUAAUUCUGUAAGCUACUAAACUGCUGUAAGUGAUUUCUGCAACACUAGUAGUGCCCUUGGAAAAUUCUUCCUUUUCAUUUUUGUCCAUAGAGACUUUCAAGCAUUAAGCAAACUAAUCAGCUUUGAAGUUAAUCAUAUCAUUACAAAAUCUGGUUUUAAAUAAAGAAAAAAAAGAAGAAAAAAAAACAUUUUAAAACCUCACAAAAAUACAUUUGUACUUUGCCAAUAUAGUUGCUGUAAUGCUGGGAAGCAGAAGUGACAAGAGAAGGAAAUGCGCAUCUAGUUGCAGGAUGAUUUAUUAAACAAAUCAAGCAAAUACCAGGAGACAAACUAGGCAGGAUCACAGGCGCCGUCUACACUCAUUUAAGAACAACUGAAUCACAGAGGUUAUACACACUACUGACACGGUUAUAAGAUAACAAAACACACUUGAGGGAGACUAAUCAAGGGAAACUGACAACAAAGAGAGCACAAGAAACACUUCAAUAUACAAGUUCAGAGAAAUCACAGGGAACAUGUGACAGCUUUGGAGUUGAAGCCAUGACUUCCUUUCCAAGACUUGCCAUGUUGUGCAAUUGGUUAUGAACAUUUGAACAUUGCCUGAUAUUACACUGUUCAAGUCUGACACCACAAAGCAGGGUUACCACCUCAUAACCCAGGUAAAAUACGUUGCUAACCCCAUUUCUAAAUUACAAGUGUGAAACAUUCCCUUACCAGGGGAUAAAAGCAGGCUUAGAACAAUAGUCACCUGUGGUGUGAAAAGCCCUAUAGUAAUACAAUUACACUGUCUUGCUACAUAAGUCUUUGGAAGUAUUCUUGCAUACUGGCAGCUCUCGUAAAUUGCUGGUCUCUUUACAGUUUGCCUGUCUAUUUGAACAAUGUUUCAUAUAUAAGCAUGUAAAUGAUGGUGAC